GAAGAAAGAGCGCAUCGAUCAAGAAGAGGGGUGUAAAUAUCAGCUCAUAUCCGAAAAAUGAAGAACUGAAAGAGAGAGAAAAAGUAAGAUGACACUGCAGAAGUCUAUCAAGAGAAGCUCGUGAAAAAGAAGAAAAAAGAAAAAUCUCCAAAAUCUCAAAUCUCUAUCGAGUCAAAACCUGCAAAAUCUUUCAUUUCCUUUCUUACCCUUUUAUAUCUCUCAUUAUUACAGAAAAUUCCACGACCCAAAAGACUAUAAAGGAAAACCCUAAAUUUCCAACAGCUUCUGAAUCACAUCUCAUAUAGAAUAAGAUCUCCCUCGCUCUUUCUCUCUCCAAAAGGUGGAGUUCAAUUCACGAGAGAAAUAGAGGUUGGGAUUGAGGUAUUUGCAGUUUCUAUGGACGUUAUCGAAUUUGAUUGGAGAUGAAUUGGGUUUGUGGUGUUUUUGAUAUCCAGCUGUGAGAUUGCUUUGCAAUUGUCGUUUGUUUUUGGGAUGGAUGGGCCACAGGGAGGUUCGAAUGCGCCGCCGCCUUUCCUCACCAAGACGUACGAAAUGGUGGAUGACCCAUCCACGAACUCAGUUGUCUCAUGGAGUGUAGGCAACAACAGCUUCAUUGUGUGGAAUCCGUUGGAGUUUGCAAGGGAUUUGCUGCCCAAGUACUUCAAGCACAAUAAUUUCUCGAGCUUUGUCAGGCAGCUCAAUACAUAUGGUUUUAGAAAAAUAGACCCGGAUCAGUGGGAAUUUGCAAAUGAGGAGUUUUUAAGAGGUCAGAAACACCUUCUAAAAAAUAUUCACAGACGCAAGCCGAUACACAGCCACUCCCAACAACAUAACCAAGCACAAGGCAAUGCUUCGGGGGCAUUAUCUGAAACAGAGAAGCAGGAACUUGAGGAGGAAAUCGAGAGGUUGAAACUUGAAAAGAGUGCUCUUCUUUCGGAACUACAAAAGCACACGCAGCAGCAGCAGGGGGUGGAUUUGCAGAUGCAGUCUCUAGAGGAGCGGUUGCAUCACAUGGAAAACCGCCAGCGGCAGAUGAUGGCUUUCUUGACACGGAUUGUGCAGAAACCAGGGUUUCUCUCCAAUCUUAUGCAACAGUCUGAAAAACACAACAAAAAGAGAAGAUUGCAGAAGCCUGAUUAUUUCUGUGAUGAAGCCAUUAUGGAAGAUAACCGGAUCACGUCUUUCCAGGCAGGAAUGAAAGAGAAACCAGAUAUUAUUUCGGUGCAGGUAUUAAAUGUGGAGCCAUUUGAGAAGAUGGAGUCAUCCAUUAAUUCCUGGGAGAAUUUUUUCCGUGGGGUCAGUCAUGCUUCUGGUGAAGAAAUGUAUAGUAAUGGCGUGCAGUGGCAACCUUCUGGAGUUGUUCUUACUGAAAUGCAUGCAUCAUCUGGUGAGCCAGACAUAAAUAUGCAACCCCAAUCACCAAAACUACAUCCAUCUUCACCUCUUUCACGAGAUAUCCAGUCCUCUCCAGAAUUGACGGAAUCUACAAGUUACGCAGAAAGCCCGUCCCUUUCUCCCAUUCAAGUUCACAUGGAUAUUCGGCUUAAGGCUGGCAUAGAUGUCAAUGCCAAGCCCUCUGUUGAGGUUCCAUCAUCGAAGGAACGUGUCACAGUAGCUAGUACUGCACCGACUGGGGUGAAUGAUGUGUUCUGGGAGCAGUUCUUAACAGAGACUCCUGGUUCAUCAGAUACCCAGGAGGUCCAGUCACAAAGGCGGGAUGGUGAUGGCAGGAGUGAAAGCAAGCCAGGUGAAGUUGGGAACUUUUGGUGGAACAGGAAGAGUGUAGAUCAUCUCACGGAACAGAUGGGGCAACUCACUCCUGCUGAAAGAAUAUAACAGAAGAAUGUAGAUCACCUUUCAGAGCAUUGUUUUUUUUUUUUUUAAAGCUGCAACUUCCGAGAUGGCUUGUUGGCUGUGUAGCAUUCCACAUAGGGAAGAGGAGAUUUUGCUCUUUCUAACAAGGACAUGUCUUUUAGAGAUGUAGCACCGUGUCUACACAGUUGGACAGGAAGUGUCUUUCGGCUGUUAUUGUAUUUUAUUUAUUUUUUCAUUUUACAUAUCAAUGACGUAAGUUAUGGGUUGAUUAUUAUUUGUUUCAUUUUGUUUUUAUUAAACAUAGAACUAAUUUUAAUAUUUCUAAUAUAUUUGUAUGGCCAUGUUGGUGAA